UGAGGAAUAUUGGUCAAUGGGCGAGAGCCUGAACCAGCCAAGUAGCGUGCAGGAUGACGGCCCUACGGGUUGUAAACUGCUUUUAUGAAGGAAUAAAGUCACCCACGUGUGGGUGUUUGCAUGUACUUUAUGAAUAAGGACCGGCUAAUUCCGUGCCAGCAGCCGCGGUAAUACGGAAGGUCCGGGCGUUAUCCGGAUUUAUUGGGUUUAAAGGGAGCGUAGGCCGCCUGGUAAGCGUGUUGUGAAAUGUCGUUGCUCAACAACGUCACUGCAGCGCGAACUGCCGGGCUUGAGUGUGCGGAAAGCGGGCGGAAUUUGUGGUGUAGCGGUGAAAUGCAUAGAUAUCACUCAGAACACCGAUUGCGAAGGCAUCUCACAAAUCCGCAAUUGACGCUGAGGCACGAAAGCGUGGGGAUCGAACAGGAUUAAAUACCCUGGUAGU
rnacentral:rRNA from 1 species